UAAGUUAUAAUGAGAACCUUAGGAACUAAUUAGGGUCGUUGGAUCUAACUUAGAUGCGCUUGAUGAGCGGCCUAAAUUAAUUCACAAUCAAGCGCAUUAUCUGUCAUUUCUCUCUGCUCGAGCGCAGCGAUUACCCUACUUCCUAGCUACCUCCAUUGAAGCAGAUUUCAAGCUUUCUCUACUCCAUUGAAGCAGAUUUCGAGCUUUCUGUACUCCAUUGAAGCGGCUUCUGAGGUCUUUACACUUUGCUUUAUUUUCCAAUAAGGCAAGAGCAAAUAUUUUCCCUCUGUGAGCUUGAUUUGGUGGCUGGUUUAAAGGUACGCAACCGUAGUUGCUAAUUUAAGAUAUUUACUUCUUAUUACUUCACGUACAAUAUAUGUUCUUGUGCUAGGUCUCGUACCUAUGUCCAUGAAAGUAUAUAUCUCAUAAAAGUAAACUCUAUCUAUCUAAAAAGUAAACUAAUCCUCUCUUAAAGUAAGCAUAUGCUAGCCUAAUUUGGGUGUGAGUCGAUUUUCAAAAUUAAUUACAGAAGCUCCCAACUCUUAGUUUCAGGAUUGACUUAGAUGGGUGGCAGAGAGACUAUCAGGGGAUAAGAUUUCAAUGUUUGCAAACUUAUGUUGGUCCUCUUGGACUAGCAGGAAUAUCGUCAUUCAUGAGCAGUCAACACACGAUUCUAUAAUGCUAGCUACAGGUUUCACCAGAUAUGUUUAUGACUAUAAUUCAUAUGCUGCAUUGCUGGUAGAGUCUUUACUGAGGUGAAAAGAAGUGAUGCAUAGUCUAUAUGAAUUUGCUGCUAUAUUUGAAGGAUAUGAUCUUAUUAUGAUAAAAAAUGAAUAUUGCUUCUUGUAAUUUUGUAUUUAUUUAAGUAGAUAGAAGUUGGUUAAAAGUAAAUCAAUUAGUCUUAAAAGUUUGUUUUUUCUCUUAAUUAAAAAGUAGAUUGAAAGUUAAUAAAAGUAAACCAGUUAGACUCAUAAGUUAAUGAAAGUCAAUGGUGCUAAUAAUGAUUCAAAGUGAUAUGACAUUAUGAAAUAUAAGGGAAAAUAAUAGUGUUGAUAACCAAGAAAGAGCUACCCUUAUUGUUAAUACAAGGUUGCGGAUUAAUGAGCCUCAAGACUUCUUGAGCUAGCUUAUGGUAUCAUGUUUCCCUUUCUGCUUUGGUUUGUUGUAUAAUAGCCUUAGGUUUCGCAAACUGAUCAAGCGAAAAUUAGGAGGUGAUUAAGGCAUGAAAAGGCUUUGUAUGGGACAGAUGUGAUUAUGUGAAGUUGUUGGAGGUUAUACUUAUAAUGUUAGACUUGUGAGGAUGGAAAGGGGUAAAGGACCGGAGAUUGAGAUGGUUCUCGAGGGAGGUUAUGGUGAGCUGAGUUGAGAGAGACAGAGUUGAGAUCAGAAGGGAGACAGCUAGUAUUAUGUUGAAACCAUUAUCGUUGCAAAUUACCCCAGAUCAGAUGCAAAAAUUAAAGCCUCAUUGAGAGUGGAAGCAAUCUUUUCUAAUAGCCUCGUCAGCUGUUGUUGAGACUUAAGAGGAUAGGAGGACAAAGAGAAAUGACUUUAAAUUGUCAGAACAGGUUAGCUGAUAGUGUGCAGUUGUGAGUCCUUGGUUUUUUCCAUGUAGAAAUGCUCUGUUCUUUUCUACUUGCUUGUAUCCGUGCUUGUCAGUUGAUUACCUGCCUGAUUCCGUUCUUUUUCUCAAGUACAGAUGCUCUUUCUCUAUUCUAAAGAGUAGUAUCUAUUGCGAUUAUAGUCUUCAUCUUACACAUUGUUAAUUGAUUAUGUCGUCUUCAACUACUCGACUUGAUAAUUGUAAGGACUGUGAAUCUAUGAUGGGUUCCACCACCUGCUUACUUAUUACGGCGCCUUUAUCAAGAUGGAUGUUCCUGAGAGAGACUAUCAGGGGAUGAGAUUUCAAUGUUUGCAAACUUAUGUUGGUCCUCUUGGACUAGCUGGAAUAACGUCAUUCAUGAGCAGUCAACACACGAUUCUAUAAUGCUAGCUACAGGUUUCACCAGGUAUGUUUGUGACUAUAAUUCAUAUGCUGCAUUGCUGGUAGAGUCUUUACUGAGGUGAAAAGAGUGAUGCAUAGUCUAUAUGAAUUUGCUGCUAUAUUUGAAGGAUAUGAUCUUAUUCUGAUAAAAAAUGAAUAUUGUUUCUUGUAAUUUUGUAUUUCUUAAAGUAGAUAGAAGUUUGUUUAAAGUAAAUCAAUUAGUCUUAAAUGUUUGUUUUUUCUCUUGAUUAAAAAGUAGAUUGAAAGUUAACAAAAGUAAACCAGUUAGACUCAUAAGUUAAUGAAAGUAAACAUAGUUGGAAGACUUAUUCUUAUUAAUAUCGAGUAUUAUGCUUAUGCUUAUGCUUAUGCUUAUGAUAUGUAUAUGCAUGAUUCAAGUAUAUGAAUGGAAUUGGACUGAGUUAGUGUGGCUGUUAAUAGCUCAUCUUGGUUUACAUUGGGUAUAAAAAUACAAAAGAUGAAUAAGGUGGGAAAAUGUAGAUUUCUAUAUCAGUUGUCUAAAGUAAAUAAAAUAGUAUUUAAAGUGAAUAAAAAAAGACUCUAAAGUAAACCUAUUAGCUCAAGUGGUAGAGCACUAUACUGAUGCAUAGAGAUGUAGGUUCGAUUCCUAUAUAGGUUCCUCUAAAAGUAAAUACAAAACAUUCUAAAGUAAUUCAAAACAUCUCAAAAGUAUAUUUAAAAAACUAAAAUGUAAAUCAAAUUAGCUCUAAAAUAUACAAACAAUAAAUUGGGUUUGGAGGCCUUGACUACCAUUAAAACGAAAAACUUCAAAAAUGUUGUCAUAUUUUUUCAAGAUUGGCUAAGAAUCCACUUCAACUUAUGUCUAAAGUAAAUAAAAUUAGCUUUAAAAAAAUUUAUGUCUAAAGUAAUCAAAAGUAGAGCAAAUUAUGUCUAAAGUAAAUAAAAUUAGCUUUAAAAAAAUCAAACUUCAAAAACAGUAUAUAGCAACAAUAUGAAUCGACUCUUCCAAAGUACCAUUACAUAGUAUUUCAUAGUAAGAAAGAGUAAGAGAAACUUGUUACACAUGACCUCUUACAUCGCACUUUCAAGUCAUCCUCUUAUAUAUCUCAAGUCAUCGCUAGCAUGGGCAGCUUGGCAUACUAGAAACGAGGCUAUUUUUGAUGGAAAUUCUGGAAUUGAUGGGGCUAGACUGGCUGUGGGUUUUGCUAAUUAUUGCAGAGAUUAUAGAGAGUAUAAUACAAAGGUUCAUGGGCUUGUUUCUGCUCCUGCUGUUUGCUCGUCUGCAGGGUGGAUUCCACCAACUCAUAGCUGUCUCAAGGUGAAUGUUGAUGCUUUUGUCCCGGGGUCUGCUGGUGUGUGCUUUGGUGUGGUAAUUAGAGAUGAAUUUGUGAAGCUACUGUUGAUUGUGGCCAAGAAGACAAACUGUAGGUGGAGCCCAAAACUAGCAGAGGCAGCAGCUGCUAGAUAUGGGAUUGAGCUUGCUAGAAGGUAGGGGUAUAGCAAGGUGAUCUUGGAGUGUGAUGCAAUAGAAGUUGUAAGGGCUGUCAAGUUGAAGCAAGAGAGAGCUGCUCCUAUUUUUCACUUCUUUGAAGAUAUUUCUAAAAUGUGUAUGAAUUUUGUCUACUUUAAUUGUGUUAAUGUUAAACGAGCGGGAAAUACUCUAGCGCAUCUAGCGGCUAGGUGGGAUAAGAACUAGUGAUGAAUGUAUUUGUAUCAUUGUAUGAAAUACUCUAGCGCAUCUAGCGCAGAGCUUGAUUUAACUUGAUAAAAUUUCCUGCGUUUGUCUUGAUUUAGCACA